CCGUGUCUACGUUGGUGUGGACUUUUUUUCCACGCUGAGUCCCGCACGAGUGCACGACGGGCGGCGGGAGGUUGAACCGAACCGGUGGCGACGACGUCGACACGCCGCACUCCGUCCGGCAUCCGUAUCCUCCUGUUUCCUUCUCUCCGGUAAUCUAAUUUCCUUUCUUUGGUUAUCGCGUUCUAGGGUUCUGCUUCUUGGAUCCAGCGAUUGGGGACUUGGGGGUAGGUUUCUGGACAUCAUACUGCAAAGUUCUUCAUAUCUAGUGCUAAUCUGAUUUAUCGUAUUGAGGUUUGAGAUAAGAGAAUGCCUAUGCCUUUUCUUUUUUGCGAUCGAAAUGCCUACGCUUUUGUAGAAUCUAUCAUGGCAUAAUAUGGUUUACUCAGCUUUACGAUAGUUUCUGCACCCUGGUUUGUCUAGUUACCCGAGCUGGAAGUCUAUACACACAUAGACGGCAUAAUAUGCACGGGAAGUUGAUCUAAUUAAUGAGUGCAAGGAAAGGGAAGCAAUGCAACUGGCUUGCUUGGACACCUGCUGCCUGAAUGGUUGUAUGCAACAGCUAUGAAGCCUACAGGGUGGUACUUGUUAGGAUUUAUGGGCUUGGCCCAAUUAAGAAAUUCAAAUAAAUCCCAGAAAAUCUCAAAAGCCCAUACAAGAGGAUGGCUAGAGGAUAGGUGGAACCAUUAGCACCAUAUUGCUAGCUCUAGUGGAGUAGAGCUAGCUUAAAUAUGGAAGCCACACUCACUCACCAAGUCAUGGAUGAGAGGAGAGAGUGUGGAGAGCCACACGCGCGCUCGCUCGCCUCGCCGGGGCGGGGCGGGGCGGGGCGGGGCGAAACCCGGUCUAUGUGAUCGGAGAUCCCGUGAAUUAGGUCCUGGGAAGAACAAGCCAUUGGUGAACUGAGGAGAGUAACCUUUGACCCUCUCUAAGUAAAGAUGCAAUACUCUCAAAUGCUGUAAGGCAGGUUGGCUUUGUGCCUUAAUGUGUUCUGUUGGCUUGUAUUAGCGAAGAUGUUGUCCUGCAGAACAUUCUUUGAAAGAACACACCUAUAUGAGUUAGACUGUCUAACGUCGCAGUUUAUGAGAUUUGGGUGAUCUCUAGUAAACUCAUGAAGAGACCUUGGAGUACGACGUAUAUGCUCCACCCGAGAAGGGGACUACUGGUAGCCAAGUACUGGUCAUGACUUCAAGUGAAACCCAUUCACGCAAAACUUGCAAUUCAAGGCAUAGUCCAUUGUCCAAGUUGUGGGUUGGUGUAGCUUGGAGUUCUAGGCGGAAGUUCAACUUAACAGUCUCUGCUGAAAAACUAGUAUAUUAAACAGUAGUGAAGAGUGGCGAAAACUGCAGAUGGGCAUUUGAGAUCUGGUGGGGGAUUGUUAGGAUUUAUGGGCUUGGCCCAAUUAAGAAAUUCAAAUAAAUCCCAGAAAAUCUCAAAAGCCCAUACAAGAGGAUGGCUAGAGGAUAGGUGGAACCAUUAGCACCAUAUUGCUAGCUCUAGUGGAGUAGAGCUAGCUUAAAUAUGGAAGCCACACUCACUCACCAAGUCAUGGAUGAGAGGAGAGAGUGUGGAGAGCCACACGCGCGCGCGCGCUCGCUCGCCUCGCCGGGCCGGGGCGGGGCGGGGCGGGGCGAAGGGCGCGGGCGCACGACAUGCGCGUGAAUGGUCCGCCGAAAUCCGGCCCCUCGCCUUGCGGGGGCGCGACUACCUUUUGCCGUUUGAUUUUUUGGUUUCUUGGCUGUUACGCUUAUCCUAACCGAUCGCUAUAAAAUCUCAACUGAUUGCGAGAUUUUCGUGGGCGGAUAAGCACGGGGGUCGCGGACUCGGCCCUAUAAAAGGAGCCCGACAGCCAGCCUCCAAAUCAUCCCAGAUCCCAGUUCGCUUUCGCCUCUUUUCAUAGCUAAGCCGCUUUUUAGUUCCCUUCGUCCCGACCGCAGAGGUGCAUCUGCGAUCAGGAGAGCAGGUCUCCGGAACCUUUCGUCUUCUAGAUCCUGCACCGGGAGAGGGCGAAUAAGGUUUUUGGGAAGCGUCUUCACGCGACUGCUCGUGAUCUUCUGACCUCGUCGACCCUGUUGAUUCGCUACUUCGACAUCGUCGAUCCUGCUGAUUCCGGCGCGCGCCAACAAUCAGUAAGUCUAAUCAGUACGCAUCAUCUGAUUUGGCUUUUAUUUCAGUUCUUCUGAUUUGGUCAUGAUUUAUAUUCGGAAUUUAAUUUGGAAUUUGUCUAAUUAUUCAACAAUCCAAAAACCUUAUUGUAGACAAUUUCCUAGUUUUUCUAUGGCUGCUUUUGCCGACGCGCUGAAGCCAGAAAAGUUUAAUGGUAUGCACUUUAAGAGAUGGCAAGUCAAGGCCACACUCUGGCUUACUGCUAUGAAUGUCUUCCAUGUUAGUAAAGGCAGACCUGAGGGUCCACUGACUCCUGAACAGGAGAAAGAGUACGACCAUGCCAAUACUAUGUUCACGGGAGCCGUUCUUAGCGCCCUUGUUGACCGUCUGGUUGAUGCGAAUAUGCAGUACACAGACGGGAAAGAGUUGUGGGAUGCACUUACUACUAAGUAUGGUGCAUCAGAUGCUGGCAGUGACCUGUAUAUCAUGGAGAGCUUUCAUGAUUAUAAGAUGGUUGAUAAUCGCUCUAUUGUAGAGCAAGCUCAUGAAAUACAGUGUAUAGCCAAGGAGCUCGACCACCUUAAGAUAGUCCUUCCUGACCGAUUUGUGGCUGGGUGCAUUAUUGCAAAGUUGCCUUCUACAUGGAGGAACUUCGCCACAACUCUGAAACAUAAGAGACAGGAGAUAUCAGUUGAAAAUCUGAUAGCGUCUCUGGAUGUUGAGGAGAAAGCUCGGGCUAAGGACACGGGAUCUAAAGGCGGCGAGGGCAACUCCAGCGCCAACAUGGUUCAAAGGAACCACAACAAGGGGAAAGGAAAGCCAAAAUCUAACAAGCCCAACAAAACUACCAACUUCAAGAAGAAGAAGAACAAGGCUGAAUUGACAUGUUUCGCAUGUGGCGAGGCGGGUCAUUUUGCCAAGGAUUGUCCCGAUCGAGCGGAUCGCCGUGGCAAAAAGGGCAAUGUCAACACAGUGGUCGCUAGCAAUGAGGAAGACAAAGGGUAUGAUAAUUUACCUUUCAUCUUCUCAGUAUUUCAAUCACCUAGCUGGUGGCUUGAUACUGGUGCUAAUGUUCAUGUGUGUUCUGACAUCAACUUGUUCUCUUCUUAUCAGGGCGCCCGGGAUUCUUCCGUGCUAAUGGGGAAUGGGUCACAUGCUUCUGUUCAUGGCACUGGCACGGUGGAUCUGAAGUUUACUUCGGGAAAGAUCGUGCAGCUGAAGAACGUGCAUCAUGUCCCUUCUAUACACAAGAAUCUCGUUAGCGGAACCCUUCUAUGUAGAGAUGGGUUCAAGGUAGUUUUGGAGUCCAAUAAAUUAGUUGUGUCCAAGUCUGGACAAUUUAUUGGUAAAGACUAUGAUUGCGGAGGCUUGUUCCACUUUUCUUUGUUAGAUUUCAAUAAUAAGUCUGUGAACCAUAUUUGUGCUAAUGUUGAUGAUCUUGCGAGUAUUUGGCAUUCUCGUUUGCGUCAUAUUAAUUUUGGCUCUAUGUCUCGGCUUGCAACCAUGAGUUUAAUUCCGAAUAUCACCAUAGUCAAAGGUUCUAAGUGCCAUAGUUGUGUGCAGUCGAAGCAACCUCGAAAGCCUCAUAAGGCUGCUGAGGAGAGACACCUGGCACCACUAGAACUCAUACAUUCUGAUCUUUGUGAGAUGAAUGGUGUGUUGACAAAAGGUGGUAAGAGAUACUUCAUGACAUUGAUUGAUGAUGCGUCUAGAUUUUGCUAUGUAUACUUGCUAAAAACUAAAGAUGAGGCUUUAGACUACUUUAAAAUCUAUAAGGCUGAGGUUGAAAACCAACUAGAGAGAAAGAUCAAACGUCUUAGAUCAGAUCGUGGUGGCGAGUUCUUUCCCAAAGUCUUUGAUGAUUUCUGUUCAGAACAUGGCAUUAUUCAUGAGAGGACUCCUCCCUAUUCACCCGAGUCAAACGGGAUUGCUGAAAGGAAAAACCGUACGUUGACUAACCUGGUGAAUGCCAUGUUAGACACUUGUGGUUUAUCUAAGGCAUGGUGGGGGGAGGCAGUCCUGACUUCAUGUCAUGUUCUGAAUAGAAUUCCUAUGGGCAAAGAAGAGAAAACCCCUUAUGAGAAGUGGGUUGGGAGAAAACCAUCACUUUCAUACUUGCGCACUUGGGGGUGCAUGGCGAAAGUCAAUGUACCAAUUAAUAAAAAGCGCAAGCUUGGUCCAAGGACAGUGGAUUGUGUCUUUCUUGGAUAUGCUUCGUGUAGCAUAGCUUAUAGAUUUUUAGUAGUUAAAUCUGAAGUUCCUGAUGUGUAUGUUGAUACUAUUAUGGAAUCUCGUGAUGCUACUUUCUUUGAGCAUAUAUUUCCAAUGAAAGACAUUCAUAGCAAUUCUAGAUACUCUUCUGAGAUAAUUCCUGAACAUAAUACACCUAUUGAGAGUUUUGAACAACCACAUGAAAUUGUCCUAGAGGAGGAUGACAAUGAUGCUCCUAAAAGGAGCAAGAGACAAAGGGUUGAAAAAUCCUUUGGUGAUGAUUUCAUUGUGUACCUUGUGGACGAUACUCCUACUACCAUUGCAGAAGCAUUUGCAUCUCCAGAUGCAGAUGAUUGGAAAGAAGCAGUUCAUAAUGACAUGGACUCUAUUCUUUCAAAUGGUACAUGGGAAGUCACUGAUCGACCCUAUGGAUGCAAACCUGUGGGUUGUAAGUGGGUGUUUAAAAAGAAGCUCAAGCCUGAUGGUACAAUUGAAAAGUACAAGGCUAGGCUUGUGGCUAAAGGCUAUACUCAGAAAGAAGGAGAAGACUUUUUUGAUACUUACUCACCUGUUGCUAGAAUGACCACUAUUCGAGUACUACUUUCUUUGGCUGCCUCGUAUGGUCUCCUUAUUCAUCAUAUGGAUGUAAAGACAACUUUUCUUAAUGGAGAGCUGGACGAGGAAAUCUAUAUGGAACAGCCUGAUGGAUUUGUAGUAAAGGGUCAAGAAAGCAAGGUGUGCAAGUUAUUGAAAUCUCUGUAUGGUCUGAAGCAAGCACCAAAGCAGUGGCAUGAGAAGUUUGACACGACUCUAACGUCUGCAGGCUUUGCCAUUAAUGAGGCAGACAGGUGUGUAUAUUAUCGCUGUGGUGGGGGCGAAGGAGUUAUAUUGUGCUUAUAUGUUGAUGAUAUAUUGAUAUUUGGCACAAACAUUGAUGUGAUCAAUGAAGUCAAGUCUUUUCUAUCAAAGAGUUUUGAUAUGAAAGAUCUGGGAGAAGCUGAUGUGAUUCUAAACAUCAAGCUGAUUAAGGCAGAUGGUGGGAUUACUCUCUCGCAAUCUCACUAUGUUGAAAAGGUUUUGAAGCGAUUUGGCUUCUCUGAGUGCAAACCUUCUCCAACACCUUAUGAUCCCAGUGUGACACUGCGAAAGAACAAGAGAAUUGGUUUAGACCAAUUGAGAUACUCUCAGAUUGUCGGUUCACUCAUGUAUCUUGCUGGUGCAACAAGGCCCGAUAUCUCGUUUGCUGUGAGCAAAUUGAGCAGGUUCAUGUCAAACCCCGGGACUGAUCAUUGGCAUGCACUUGAGCGGGUUAUGCGCUACCUGCAAGGUACAAUGAGUUAUGGAAUUCACUAUUCUGGUCAGCAUGCAGUACUUGAAGGAUAUAGUGAUUCGAACUGGAUAUCUGAUGCAGACGAGCUUUAUGCCACCAGUGGUUAUGUCUUUACUAUUGGUGGAGGUGCGGUAUCAUGGAGGUCAUGCAAGCAGACCAUUUUGACGAGGUCAACCAUGGAAGCCGAGCUAGCUGCACUUGACACAGCAACCGUUGAGGCAGAAUGGUUGCGUGAACUCUUGAUGGACUUGCCGGUGGUUGAGAAACCAAUACCAGCUAUCCUUAUGAACUGUGACAAUCAGACAGUGAUUGCUAAAGUGACGAGUUCUAAGGAUAAUGGAAAGUCAUCAAGACAUGUCAAAAGACGAUUGAAGUCUGUCAGAAAGUUGAGAAACUCCGGAGUUAUAAGUGUGACUUAUAUUUCAACAGAUAAAAAUCUAGCAGAUCCUUUUACCAAGGGACUACCACGUAAUGUGAUAGAAAUCGCAUCGAGAGAGAUGGGUAUGAGACCUGAAUAAAGUUGCCAUGGUGGAAACCCGGUCUAUGUGAUCGGAGAUCCCGUGAAUUAGGUCCUGGGAAGAACAAGCCAUUGGUGAACUGAGGAGAGUAACCUUUGACCCUCUCUAAGUAAAGAUGCAAUACUCUCAAAUGCUGUAAGGCAGGUUGGCUUUGUGCCUUAAUGUGUUCUGUUGGCUUGUAUUAGCGAAGAUGUUGUCCUGCAGAACAUUCUUUGAAAGAACACACCUAUAUGAGUUAGACUGUCUAACGUCGCAGUCUAUGAGAUUUGGGUGAUCUCUAGUAAACUCAUGAAGAGACCUUGGAGUACGACGUAUAUGCUCCACCCGAGAAGGGGACUACUGGUAGCCAAGUACUGGUCAUGACUUCAAGUGAAACCUAUUCACGCAAAACUUGCAAUUCAAGGCAUAGUCCAUUGUCCAAGUUGUGGGUUGGUGUAGCUUGGAGUUCUAGGCGGAAGUUCAACUUAACAGUCUCUGCUGAAAAACUAGUAUAUUAAACAGUAGUGAACAGUGGCGAAAACUGCAGAUGGGCAUUUGAGAUCUGGUGGGGGAUUGUUAGGAUUUAUGGGCUUGGCCCAAUUAAGAAAUUCAAAUAAAUCCCAGAAAAUCUCAAAAGCCCAUGCAAGAGGAUGGCUAGAGGAUAGGUGGAACCAUUAGCACCAUAUUGCUAGCUCUAGUGGAGUAGAGCUAGCUUAAAUAUGGAAGCCACACUCACUCACCAAGUCAUGGAUGAGAGGAGAGAGUGUGGAGAGCCACACGCGCGCGCGCGCUCGCUCGCCUCGCCGGGGCGGGGCGGGGCGGGGCGAAGGGCGCGGGCGCACGACAUGCGCGUGAAUGGUCCGCCGAAAUCCGGCCCCUCGCCUUGCGGGGGCGCGACUACCUUUUGCCGUUUGAUUUUUUGGUUUCUUGGCUGUUACGCUUAUCCUAACCGAUCGCUAUAAAAUCUCAACUGAUUGCGAGAUUUUCGUGGGCGGAUAAGCACGGGGGUCGCGGACUCGGCCCUAUAAAAGGAGCCCGGCAGCCAGCCUCCAAAUCAUCCCAGAUCCCAGUUCGCUUUCGCCUCUCUUCAUAGCUGAGCCGCUUUUUAGUUCCCUUCGUCCCGACCGCAGAGGUGCAUCUGCGAUCAGGAGAGCAGGUCUACGGAACCCUUCGUCUUCUAGAUCCUGCACCGGGAGAGGGCGAAUAAGGUUUUUGGGAAGCGUCUUCACGCGACUGCUCGUGAUCUUCUGACCUCGUCGACCCUGUUGAUUCGCUACUUCGACAUCGUCGACCCUGCUGAUUCCGGCGCGCGCCAACAAUCAGUAAGUCUAAUCAGUACGCAUCAUCUGAUUUGGCUUUUAUUUCAGUUCUUCUGAUUUGGUCAUGAUUUAUAUUCGGAAUUUAAUUUGGAAUUUGUCUAAUUAUUCAACAAUCCAAAAACCUUAUAGACAAUUUCCUAGUUUUUCUAUGGCUGCUUUUGCCGACGCGCUGAAGCCAGAAAAGUUUAAUGGUAUGCACUUUAAGAGAUGGCAAGUCAAGGCCACACUCUGGCUUACUGCUAUGAAUGUCUUCCAUGUUAGUAAAGGCAGACCUGAGGGUCCACUGACUCCUGAACAGGAGAAAGAGUACGACCAUGCCAAUACUAUGUUCACGGGAGCCGUUCUUAGCGCCCUUGUUGACCGUCUGGUUGAUGCGAAUAUGCAGUACACAGACGGGAAAGAGUUGUGGGAUGCACUUACUACUAAGUAUGGUGCAUCAGAUGCUGGCAGUGACCUGUAUAUCAUGGAGAGCUUUCAUGAUUAUAAGAUGGUUGAUAGUCGCUCUAUUGUAGAGCAAGCUCAUGAAAUACAGUGUAUAGCCAAGGAGCUCGACCACCUUAAGGUAGUCCUUCCUGACCGAUUUGUGGCUGGGUGCAUUAUUGCAAAGUUGCCUUCUACAUGGAGGAACUUCGCCACAGCUCUGAAACAUAAGAGACAGGAGAUAUCAGUUGAAAAUCUGAUAGCGUCUCUGGAUGUUGAGGAGAAAGCUCGGGCUAAGGACACGGGAUCUAAAGGCGGCGAGGGCAACUCCAGCGCCAACAUGGUUCAAAGGAACCACAACAAGGGGAAAGGAAAGCCAAAAUCUAACAAGCCCAACAAAACUACCAACUUCAAGAAGAAGAAGAACAAGGCUGAAUUGACAUGUUUCGCAUGUGGCGAGGCGGGUCAUUUUGCCAAGGAUUGUCCCGAUCGAGCGGAUCGCCGUGGCAAAAAGGGCAAUGUCAACACAGUGGUCGCUAGCAAUGAGGAAGACAAAGGGUAUGAUAAUUUACCUUUCAUCUUCUCAGUAUUUCAAUCACCUAGCUGGUGGCUUGAUACUGGUGCUAAUGUUCAUGUGUGUUCUGACAUCAACUUGUUCUCUUCUUAUCAGGGCGCCCGGGAUUCUUCCGUGCUAAUGGGGAAUGGGUCACAUGCUUCUGUUCAUGGCACUGGCACGGUGGAUCUGAAGUUUACUUCGGGAAAGAUCGUGCAGCUGAAGAACGUGCAUCAUGUCCCUUCUAUACACAAGAAUCUCGUUAGCGGAACCCUUCUAUGUAGAGAUGGGUUCAAGGUAGUUUUGGAGUCCAAUAAAUUAGUUGUGUCCAAGUCUGGACAAUUUAUUGGUAAAGACUAUGAUUGCGGAGGCUUGUUCCACUUUUCUUUGUUAGAUUUCAAUAAUAAGUCUGUGAACCAUAUUUGUGCUAAUGUUGAUGAUCUUGCGAGUAUUUGGCAUUCUCGUUUGCGUCAUAUUAAUUUUGGCUCUAUGUCUCGGCUUGCAACCAUGAGUUUAAUUCCGAAUAUCACCAUAGUCAAAGGUUCUAAGUGCCAUAGUUGUGUGCAGUCGAAGCAACCUCGAAAGCCUCAUAAGGCUGCUGAGGAGAGACACCUGGCACCACUAGAACUCAUACAUUCUGAUCUUUGUGAGAUGAAUGGUGUGUUGACAAAAGGUGGUAAGAGAUACUUCAUGACAUUGAUUGAUGAUGCGUCUAGAUUUUGCUAUGUAUACUUGCUAAAAACUAAAGAUGAGGCUUUAGACUACUUUAAAAUCUAUAAGGCUGAGGUUGAAAACCAACUAGAGAGAAAGAUCAAACGUCUUAGAUCAGAUCGUGGUGGCGAGUUCUUUCCCAAAGUCUUUGAUGAUUUCUGUUCAGAACAUGGCAUUAUUCAUGAGAGGACUCCUCCCUAUUCACCCGAGUCAAACGGGAUUGCUGAAAGGAAAAACCGUACGUUGACUGACCUGGUGAAUGCCAUGUUAGACACUUGUGGUUUAUCUAAGGCAUGGUGGGGGGAGGCAGUCCUGACUUCAUGUCAUGUUCUGAAUAGAAUUCCUAUGGGCAAAGAAGAGAAAACCCCUUAUGAGAAGUGGGUUGGGAGAAAACCAUCACUUUCAUACUUGCGCACUUGGGGGUGCAUGGCAAAAGUCAAUGUACCAAUUAAUAAAAAGCGCAAGCUUGGUCCAAGGACAGUGGAUUGUGUCUUUCUUGGAUAUGCUUCGUGUAGCAUAGCUUAUAGAUUUUUAGUAGUUAAAUCUGAAGUUCCUGAUGUGUAUGUUGAUACUAUUAUGGAAUCUCGUGAUGCUACUUUCUUUGAGCAUAUAUUUCCAAUGAAAGACAUUCAUAGCAAUUCUAGAUACUCUUCUGAGAUAAUUCCUGAACAUAAUACACCUAUUGAGAGUUUUGAACAACCACAUGAAACUGUUCUAGAGGAGGAUGACAAUGAUGCUCCUAAAAGGAGCAAGAGACAAAGGGUUGAAAAAUCCUUUGGUGAUGAUUUCAUUGUGUACCUUGUGGACGAUACUCCUACUACCAUUGCAGAAGCAUUUGCAUCUCCAGAUGCAGAUGAUUGGAAAGAAGCAGUUCAUAAUGAGAUGGACUCUAUUCUUUCAAAUGGUACGUGGGAAGUCACUGAUCGACCCUAUGGAUGCAAACCUGUGGGUUGUAAGUGGGUGUUUAAAAAGAAGCUCAAGCCUGAUGGUACAAUUGAAAAGUACAAGGCUAGGCUUGUGGCUAAAGGCUAUACUCAGAAAGGAGAAGACUUUUUUGAUACUUACUCACCUGUUGAUAGAAUGACCACUAUUCGAGUACUACUUUCUUUGGCUGCCUCGUAUGGUCUCCUUGUUCAUCAUAUGGAUGUAAAGACAACUUUUCUUAAUGGAGAGCUGGACGAGAAAAUCUAUAUGGAACAGCCUGAUGGAUUUGUAGUAAAGGGUCAAGAAAGCAAGGUGUGCAAGUUAUUGAAAUCUCUGUAUGGUCUGAAGCAAGCACCAAAGCAGUGGCAUGAGAAGUUUGACACGACUCUAACGUCUGCAGGCUUUGCCAUUAAUGAGGCAGACAGGUGUGUAUAUUAUCGCUGUGGUGGGGGAGAAGGAGUUAUAUUGUGCUUAUAUGUUGAUGAUAUAUUGAUAUUUGGCACAAACAUUGAUGUGAUCAAUGAAGUCAAGUCUUUUCUAUCAAAGAGUUUUGAUAUGAAAGAUCUGGGAGAAGCUGAUGUGAUUCUAAACAUCAAGCUGAUUAAGGCAGAUGGUGGGAUUACUCUCUCGCAAUCUCACUAUGUUGAAAAGGUUUUGAAGCGAUUUGGCUUCUCUGAGUGCAAACCUUCUCCAACACCUUAUGAUCCCAGUGUGACACUGCGAAAGAACAAGAGAAUUGGUUUAGACCAAUUGAGAUACUCUCAGAUUGUCGGUUCACUCAUGUAUCUUGCUGGUGCAACAAGGCCCGAUAUCUCGUUUGCUGUGAGCAAAUUGAGCAGGUUCAUGUCAAACCCCGGGACUGAUCAUUGGCAUGCACUUGAGCGGGUUAUGCGCUACCUGCAAGGUACAAUGAGUUAUGGAAUUCACUAUUCUGGUCAGCAUGCAGUACUUGAAGGAUAUAGUGAUUCGAACUGGAUAUCUGAUGCAGACGAGCUUUAUGCCACCAGUGGUUAUGUCUUUACUAUUGGUGGAGGUGCGGUAUCAUGGAGGUCAUGCAAGCAGACCAUUUUGACGAGGUCAACCAUGGAAGCCGAGCUAGCUGCACUUGACACAGCAACCGUUGAGGCAGAAUGGUUGCGUGAACUCUUGAUGGACUUGCCGGUGGUUGAGAAACCAAUACCAGCUAUCCUUAUGAACUGUGACAAUCAGACAGUGAUUGCUAAAGUGACGAGUUCUAAGGAUAAUGGAAAGUCAUCAAGACAUGUCAAAAGACGAUUGAAGUCUGUCAGAAAGUUGAGAAACUCCGGAGUUAUAAGUGUGACUUAUAUUUCAACAGAUAAAAAUCUAGCAGAUCCUUUUACCAAGGGACUACCACGUAAUGUGAUAGAAAUCGCAUCGAGAGAGAUGGGUAUGAGACCUGAAUAAAGUUGCCAUGGUGGAAACCCGGUCUAUGUGAUCGGAGAUCCCGUGAAUUAGGUCCUGGGAAGAACAAGCCAUUGGUGAACUGAGGAGAGUAACCUUUGACCCUCUCUAAGUAAAGAUGCAAUACUCUCAAAUGCUGUAAGGCAGGUUGGCUUUGUGCCUUAAUGUGUUCUGUUGGCUUGUAUUAGCGAAGAUGUUGUCCUGCAGAACAUUCUUUGAAAGAACACACCUAUAUGAGUUAGACUGUCUAACGUCGCAGUCUAUGAGAUUUGGGUGAUCUCUAGUAAACUCAUGAAGAGACCUUGGAGUACGACGUAUAUGCUCCACCCGAGAAGGGGACUACUGGUAGCCAAGUACUGGUCAUGACUUCAAGUGAAACCCAUUCACGCAAAACUUGCAAUUCAAGGCAUAGUCCAUUGUCCAAGUUGUGGGUUGGUGUAGCUUGGAGUUCUAGGCGGAAGUUCAACUUAACAGUCUCUGCUGAAAAACUAGUAUAUUAAACAGUAGUGAACAGUGGCGAAAACUGUAGAUGGGCAUUUGAGAUCUGGUGGGGGAUUGUUAGGAUUUAUGGGCUUGGCCCAAUUAAGAAAUUCAAAUAAAUCCCAGAAAAUCUCAAAAGCCCAUACAAGAGGAUGGCUAGAGGAUAGGUGGAACCAUUAGCACCAUAUUGCUAGCUCUAGUGGAGUAGAGCUAGCUUAAAUAUGGAAGCCACACUCACUCACCAAGUCAUGGAUGAGAGGAGAGAGUGUGGAGAGCCACACGCGCGCGCGCUCGCUCGCCUCGCCGGGGCGGGGCGGGGCGGGGCGGGGCGAAGGGCGCGGGCGCACGACAUGCGCGUGAAUGGUCCGCCGAAAUCCGGCCCCUCGCCUUGCGGGGGCGCGGCUACCUUUUGCCGUUUGAUUUUUUGGUUUCUUGGCUGUUACGCUUAUCCUAACCGAUCGCUAUAAAAUCUCAACUGAUUGCGAGAUUUUCGUGGGCGGAUAAGCACGGGGGUCGCGGACUCGGCCCUAUAAAAGGAGCCCGGCAGCCAGCCUCCAAAUCAUCCCAGAUCCCAGUUCGCUUUCGCCUCUCUUCAUAGCUGAGCCGCUUUUUAGUUCCCUUCGUCCCGACCGCAGAGGUGCAUCUGCGAUCAGGAGAGCAGGUCUCCGGAACCCUUCGUCUUCUAGAUCCUGCACCGGGAGAGGGCGAAUAAGGUUUUUGGGAAGCGUCUUCACGCGACUGCUCGUGAUCUUCUGACCUCGUCGACCCUGUUGAUUCGCUACUUCGACAUCGUCGACCCUGCUGAUUCCGGCGCGCGCCAACAAUCAGUAAGUCUAAUCAGUACGCAUCAUCUGAUUUGGCUUUUAUUUCAGUUCUUCUGAUUUGGUCAUGAUUUAUAUUCGGAAUUUAAUUUGGAAUUUGUCUAAUUAUUCAACAAUCCAAAAACCUUAUUGUAGACAAUUUCCUAGUUUUUCUAUGGCUGCUUUUGCCGACGCGCUGAAGCCAGAAAAGUUUAAUGGUAUGCACUUUAAGAGAUGGCAAGUCAAGGCCACACUCUGGCUUACUGCUAUGAAUGUCUUCCAUGUUAGUAAAGGCAGACCUGAGGGUCCACUGACUCCUGAACAGGAGAAAGAGUACGACCAUGCCAAUACUAUGUUCACGGGAGCCGUUCUUAGCGCCCUUGUUGACCGUCUGGUUGAUGCGAAUAUGCAGUACACAGACGAGAAAGAGUUGUGGGAUGCACUUACUACUAAGUAUGGUGCAUCAGAUGCUGGCAGUGACCUGUAUAUCAUGGAGAGCUUUCAUGAUUAUAAGAUGGUUGAUAAUCGCUCUAUUGUAGAGCAAGCUCAUGAAAUACAGUGUAUAGCCAAGGAGCUCGACCACCUUAAGAUAGUCCUUCCUGACCGAUUUGUGGCUGGGUGCAUUAUUGCAAAGUUGCCUUCUACAUGGAGGAACUUCGCCACAGCUCUGAAACAUAAGAGACAGGAGAUAUCAGUUGAAAAUCUGAUAGCGUCUCUGGAUGUUGAUGAGAAAGCUCGGGCUAAGGACACGGGAUCUAAAGGCGGCGAGGGCAACUCCAGCGCCAAUAUGGUUCAAAGGAACCACAACAAGGGGAAAGGAAAGCCAAAAUCUAACAAGCCCAACAAAACUACCAACUUCAAGAAGAAGAAGAACAAGGCUGAAUUGACAUGUUUCGCAUGUGGCGAGGCGGGUCAUUUUGCCAAGGAUUGUCCCGAUCGAGCGGAUCGCCGUGGCAAAAAGGGCAAUGUCAACACAGUGGUCGCUAGCAAUGAGGAAGACAAAGGGUAUGAUAAUUUACCUUUCAUCUUCUCAGUAUUUCAAUCACCUAGCUGGUGGCUUGAUACUGGUGCUAAUGUUCAUGUGUGUUCUGACAUCAACUUGUUCUCUUCUUAUCAGGGCGCCCGGGAUUCUUCCGUGCUAAUGGGGAAUGGGUCACAUGCUUCUGUUCAUGGCACUGGCACGGUGGAUCUGAAGUUUACUUCGGGAAAGAUCGUGCAGCUGAAGAACGUGCAUCAUGUCCCUUCUAUACACAAGAAUCUCGUUAGCGGAACCCUUCUAUGUAGAGAUGGGUUCAAGGUAGUUUUGGAGUCCAAUAAAUUAGUUGUGUCCAAGUCUGUACAAUUUAUUGGUAAAGACUAUGAUUGCGGAGGCUUGUUCCACUUUUCUUUGUUAGAUUUCAAUAAUAAGUCUGUGAACCAUAUUUGUACGAAUGUUGAUGAUCUUGCGAGUAUUUGGCAUUCUCGUUUGCGUCAUAUUAAUUUUGGCUCUAUGUCUCGGCUUGCAACCAUGAGUUUAAUUCCGAAUAUCACCAUAGUCAAAGGUUCUAAGUGCCAUAGUUGUGUGCAGUCGAAGCAACCUCGAAAGCCUCAUAAGGCUGCUGAGGAGAGACACCUGGCACCACUAGAACUCAUACAUUCUGAUCUUUGUGAGAUGAAUGGUGUGUUGACAAAAGGUGGUAAGAGAUACUUCAUGACAUUGAUUGAUGAUGCGUCUAGAUUUUGCUAUGUAUACUUGCUAAAAACUAAAGAUGAGGCUUUAGACUACUUUAAAAUCUAUAAGGCUGAGGUUGAAAACCAACUAGAGAGAAAGAUCAAACGUCUUAGAUCAGAUCGUGGUGGCGAGUUCUUUCCCAAAGUCUUUGAUGAUUUCUGUUCAGAACAUGGCAUUAUUCAUGAGAGGACUCCUCCCUAUUCACCCGAGUCAAACGGGAUUGCUGAAAGGAAAAACCGUACGUUGACUGACCUGGUGAAUGCCAUGUUAGACACUUGUGGUUUAUCUAAGGCAUGGUGGGGGGAGGCAGUCCUGACUUCAUGUCAUGUUCUGAAUAGAAUUCCUAUGGGCAAAGAAGAGAAAACCCCUUAUGAGAAGUGGGUUGGGAGAAAACCAUCACUUUCAUACUUGCGCACUUGGGGGUGCAUGGCAAAAGUCAAUGUACCAAUUAAUAAAAAGCGCAAGCUUGGUCCAAGGACAGUGGAUUGUGUCUUUCUUGGAUAUGCUUCGUGUAGCAUAGCUUAUAGAUUUUUAGUAGUUAAAUCUGAAGUUCCUGAUGUGUAUGUUGAUACUAUUAUGGAAUCUCGUGAUGCUACUUUCUUUGAGCAUAUAUUUCCAAUGAAAGACAUUCAUAGCAAUUCUAGAUACUCUUCUGAGAUAAUUCCUGAACAUAAUACACCUAUUGAGAGUUUUGAACAACCACAUGAAAUUGUCCUAGAGGAGGAUGACAAUGAUGCUCCUAAAAGGAGCAAGAGACAAAGGGUUGAAAAAUCCUUUGGUGAUGAUUUCAUUGUGUACCUUGUGGACGAUACUCCUACUACCAUUGCAGAAGCAUUUGCAUCUCCAGAUGCAGAUGAUUGGAAAGAAGCAGUUCAUAAUGAGAUGGACUCUAUUCUUUCAAAUGGUACGUGGGAAGUCACUGAUCGACCCUAUGGAUGCAAACCUGUGGGUUGUAAGUGGGUGUUUAAAAAGAAGCUCAAGCCUGAUGGUACAAUUGAAAAGUACAAGGCUAGGCUUGUGGCUAAAGGCUAUACUCAGAAAGAAGGAGAAGACUUUUUUGAUACUUACUCACCUGUUGAUAGAAUGACCACUAUUCGAGUACUACUUUCUUUGGCUGCCUCGUAUGGUCUCCUUGUUCAUCAGAUGGAUGUAAAGACAACUUUUCUUAAUGGAGAGCUGGACGAGGAAAUCUAUAUGGAACAGCCUGAUGGAUUUGUAGUAAAGGGUCAAGAAAGCAAGGUGUGCAAGUUAUUGAAAUCUCUGUAUGGUCUGAAGCAAGCACCAAAGCAGUGGCAUGAGAAGUUUGACACGACUCUAACGUCUGCAGGCUUUGCCAUUAAUGAGGCAGACAGGUGUGUAUAUUAUCGCUGUGGUGGGGGCGAAGGAGUUAUAUUGUGCUUAUAUGUUGAUGAUAUAUUGAUAUUUGGCACAAACAUUGAUGUGAUCAAUGAAGUCAAGUCUUUUCUAUCAAAGAGUUUUGAUAUGAAAGAUCUAGGAGAAGCUGAUGUGAUUCUAAACAUCAAGCUGAUUAAGGCAGAUGGUGGGAUUACUCUCUCGCAAUCUCACUAUGUUGAAAAGGUUUUGAAGCGAUUUGGCUUCUCUGAGUGCAAACCUUCUCCAACACCUUAUGAUCCCAGUGUGACACUGCGAAAGAACAAGAGAAUUGGUUUAGACCAAUUGAGAUACUCUCAGAUUGUCGGUUCACUCAUGUAUCUUGCUGGUGCAACAAGGCCCGAUAUCUCGUUUGCUGUGAGCAAAUUGAGCAGGUUCAUGUCAAACCCCGGGACUGAUCAUUGGCAUGCACUUGAGCGGGUUAUGCGCUACCUGCAAGGUACAAUGAGUUAUGGAAUUCAUUAUUCUGGUCAGCAUGCAGUACUUGAAGGAUAUAGUGAUUCGAACUGGAUAUCUGAUGCAGACGAGCUUUAUGCCACCAGUGGUUAUGUCUUUACUAUUGGUGGAGGUGCGGUAUCAUGGAGGUCAUGCAAGCAGACCAUUUUGACGAGGUCAACCAUGGAAGCCGAGCUAGCUGCACUUGACACAGCAACCGUUGAGGCAGAAUGGUUGCGUGAACUCUUGAUGGACUUGCCGGUGGUUGAGAAACCAAUACCAGCUAUCCUUAUGAACUGUGACAAUCAGACAGUGAUUGCUAAAGUGACGAGUUCUAAGGAUAAUGGAAAGUCAUCAAGACAUGUCAAAAGACGAUUGAAGUCUGUCAGAAAGUUGAGAAACUCCGGAGUUAUAAGUGUGACUUAUAUUUCAACAGAUAAAAAUCUGGCAGAUCCUUUUACCAAGGGACUACCACGUAAUGUGAUAGAAAUCGCAUCGAGAGAGAUGGGUAUGAGACCCGAAUAAAGUUGCCAUGGUGGAAACCCAGUCUAUGUGAUCGGAGAUCCCGUGAAUUAGGUCCUGGGAAGAACAAGCCAUUGGUGAACUGAGGAGAGUAACCUUUGACCCUCUCUAAGUAAAGAUGCAAUACUCUCAAAUGCUGUAAGGCAGGUUGGCUUUGUGCCUUAAUGUGUUCUGUUGGCUUGUAUUAGCGAAGAUGUUGUCCUGCAGAACAUUCUUUGAAAGAACACACCUAUAUGAGUUAGACUGUCUAACGUCGCAGUCUAUGAGAUUUGGGUGAUCUCUAGUAAACUCAUGAAGAGACCUUGGAGUACGACGUAUAUGCUCCACCCGAGAAGGGGACUACUGGUAGCCAAGUACUGGUCAUGACUUCAAGUGAAACCCAUUCACGCAAAACUUGCAAUUCAAGGCAUAGUCCAUUGUCCAAGUUGUGGGUUGGUGUAGCUUGGAGUUCUAGGCGGAAGUUCAACUUAACAGUCUCUGCUGAAAAACUAGUAUAUUAAACAGUAGUGAACAGUGGCGAAAACUGCAGAUGGGCAUUUGAGAUCUGGUGGGGGAUUGUUAGGAUUUAUGGGCUUGGCCCAAUUAAGAAAUUCAAAUAAAUCCCAGAAAAUCUCAAAAGCCCAUACAAGAGGAUGGCUAGAGGAUAGGUGGAACCAUUAGCACCAUAUUGCUAGCUCUAGUGGAGUAGAGCUAGCUUAAAUAUGGAAGCCACACUCACUCACCAAGUCAUGGAUGAGAGGAGAGAGUGUGGAGAGCCACACGCGCGCGCGCGCUCGCUCGCCUCGCCGGGCCGGGGCGGGGCGGGGCGGGCGGGGCGGGGCGAAGGGCGCGGGCGCACGACAUGCGCGUGAAUGGUCCGCCGAAAUCCGGCCCCUCGCCUUGCGGGGGCGCGGCUACCUUUUGCCGUUUGAUUUUUUGGUUUCUUGGCUGUUACGCUUAUCCUAACCGAUCGCUAUAAAAUUUCAACUGAUUGCGAGAUUUUCGUGGGCGGAUAAGCACGGGGGUCGCGGACUCGGCCCUAUAAAAGGAGCCCGGCAGCCAGCCUCCAAAUCAUCCCAGAUCCCAGUUCGCUUUCGCCUCUCUUCAUAGCUGAGCCGCUUUUUAGUUCCCUUCGUCCCGACCGCAGAGGUGCAUCUGCGAUCAGGAGAGCAGGUCUCCGGAACCCUUCGUCUUCUAGAUCCUGCACCGGGAGAGGGCGAAUAAGGUUUUUGGGAAGCGUCUUCACGCGACUGCUCGUGAUCUUCUGACCUCGUCGACCCUGUUGAUUCGCUACUUCGACAUCGUCAACCCUGCUGAUUCCGGCGCGCGCCAACAAUCAGUAAGUCUAAUCAGUACGCAUCAUCUGAUUUGGCUUUUAUUUCAGUUCUUCUGAUUUGGUCAUGAUUUAUAUUCGGAAUUUAAUUUGGAAUUUGUCUAAUUAUUCAACAGUACUCACAGCAUUCACUGCAAGGAUAGGACGACAGGAUCAGAAUACAUCAUAUGGAGGGCUGAUACAUAUGUAGACUUGCCAGAUCUUUCUGCACAUCUUACUACGUUUUAUGCAUGGUAACAGCUAGUUUCAAAGAAGAACACCAGCAAAGUAUCAUGCUAUAUUUUGCUCUUUUAUUAGUUUAUAGUCAUUUUUGUAUGCAUAUUUGAUUUUUGUACCAUAUUUUCCUUUUUACUGUGUAGUGGUAACCAUCAACAGAAACUGAUGGUUGAGCUACGACUUAUGUAAGAAGUAAGAUGUUUUGUGUAACCCUUUAUGUUUAGUAAUUUCAUCUCAACAGCCUCCUGCCAUAUAUACUUCACAUCAGUUUUAGUUUCCUGAAACAAUAACUUAUAACAAGCUAGUUGACAUUUUCAUGGAGGCAAA
rnacentral:lncRNA from 1 species